UGGGGAAUUUUUGACAAUGGGCGCAAGCCUGAUCCAGCAAUGCCGCGUGCAGGAUGAAGGCCUUCGGGUUGUAAACUGCUUUUGUACGGAGCGAAAAGGUCUGCCCUAAUACGGUGGGCUCAUGACGUUACCGUAAGAAUAAGCACCGGCUAACUACGUGCCAGCAGCCGCGGUAAUACGUAGGGUGCGAGCGUUAAUCGGAAUUACUGGGCGUAAAGCGUGCGCAGGCGGUUAUAUAAGACAGAGGUGAAAUCCCCGGGCUCAACCUGGGACCUGCAUUUGUGACUGUAUAGCUAGAGUACGGUAGAGGGGGAUGGAAUUCCGCGUGUAGCAGUGAAAUGCGUAGAUAUGCGGAGGAACACCGAUGGCGAAGGCAAUCCACUGGACCUGUACUGACGCUCAUGCACGAAAGCGUGGGGAGCAAACA
rnacentral:rRNA from 1 species